CAAAUUCCUACUUUUUUUCCUCUCUCUCUCUCUCUCUCUCAAACCCUCAUCCACUCAGGAAGUCACCCUAGCUCACAUUUCUUAUAAUUAUUUUGUAUUUUAAACUAUUGGACAUGUUGCAUCAAAUUGUAGGUAAUGUUCUAUAAAAAUUAAACUAUUGAUUAUAUAAUGUCGAGAAUUUCAAUCGGCUCGUUUAGAGCUCGAGCUCGGCUCGACUCAAAAUUAGGCUCGCUCGAGCUCGGCUCGAAUUAAUUUCAAGCCGAGCUUGAGCCUAAAUUUAGGCUCGAAAUUAAUUUCAAGCCGAAUUUGAGCUGACAUAAGCUCGCUCGAGCUCGGCUCGUUUCCACC
rnacentral:lncRNA from 1 species